CGCCGAGCUGCAGCACCCAUUGAGACGUGGAGGCUAAAGUGGUGUCGAAGCGCAUUCAUCCCGCAGUGUGGCUGCUUCAACAGUCAGGAAUCUAAAUCUCAAGUGCAUCCUACAAAACUGAAAAAGGGAUAUGGGAUACAGAUUCAUGUACGAUAUUUGAAAAGAAGGAAUCCCAUCGCGGUAAUAAAUUUACAUAAAAUAGAAUCCUUAAAUGCAUAAUAAAAAUUAUUCACCUGGGCAGUCUAUGGAUGUUGCCAACAUUUUAGAAAUGCUAAGUUUGGAGACUCAGAUUUUAUUUUGCAAGAAAUAAAAAUUCCACCUCAGCAAUUAAUCCAUGGAUGUAUUACUCUCAGUAUUUUAGAAAUGGGGGUUUGGUGACAAAUCUUACAUUUUAUUUCACCAACAAUGAAAUCAUCCCCUAAGCAAUCAAUCAAUGACUGUAUUACUGUCAACAUUUAGAAAUGAUAACUUGCUGAAUCUUAUGUUUUUAUUUCACAAGAUUCCUUUUGCUUGAGCAAUCAGCCAAUUGAUGUAUUACACCCAGCAUUUUUGAAAUAAUAGUUUGGUGAGUGCACUAAAAUUUUAUUUCACAGACAACAAAAUCUCCUCUUAAGCAAUCAAAUGAUGGAUGUCAUAGACUCAGGACAACAACCUUUUGGAAAUGACAGUUUGGUGACUAAAAUGUCAUUUCACAAGAAAUGAAACCUUUGUUUAAGCAAUUAAUCAAUGGAUGUGUUAAACUCAGGAAGACAACAUUUUAGAAAGGGCAGUUUGGUGACUACAAAAGAAAGGCAUUUUUGUUCCCAGUAUUAAAACAAUCAAAGUCAUGUCUUAAAAACAGUCGGUUGGGACCAUUCUGUGAGCCUCAGAUCUUGAGGAUAAUAUUGUGUGACAAAAUUUGAAUUUUUUUUCUGUUCCUGGUUUGA
rnacentral:lncRNA from 1 species